UGUGAUCAAGAAAGUUCCUGUUUGAUUUAUCUUUCCCAACUGUUUGGGUGGAGUAUGCAUAACGAAACAUACAUUGUAAAGUGGGAAAGGCAGUUUAAAGCACUUUAUAAAUUCCUGCCAAAGUUCCUAGAGUUAGUGAACAAAGCCAGGUAUAUUGAGGAGGAGUAAGAUUUGUCUUACACGCGUUUGUGACCGGCCAGGAAAGACGCAACAAACCGGAAUCUUUUGCGGCAAAAGCUUUAUUGUUUACAUCUUCAGGAGCAAGAGAGAGAAUGGCGAAACCCCGUCCCUUUUAAGGAGAAUUAUCCUCCGCCUAGGACGUGUCGCUCCCUGAUUGGCUGCAGCCCAUUGGCCGAGUUGUCCUCACGGGGAAGGCAGAGCACAUGGAGUGAAGAACUACCCUUGGCACAUGCGCAGAUUAUUUGUUUACCAUUUAGAACACAGAAUGUCAGCGCCAUCUUGUAACGGCGAAUGUGAGGGCGGCUCCCCGCAGAUUUGAAAGAUGAUAUUGAAGCAACAGACCUUCUGUAACUCACACCUUUUUGACUCGGAUCCACGGUGAGGGAACAACUACUGUUCUGACACAUGUCCCAUUUUCCACGUAUCAUUUUUCAACUUUUUUUGGUAUAUUGUUUUUUGUUUGUUUGUUUGUGUUUAGGCAA
rnacentral:lncRNA from 1 species